rnacentral:misc_RNA from 1 species
GAUGAAGAACGCAGCGAAAUGCGAUAAGUAAUGUGAAUUGCAGAAUUCAGUGAAUCAUCGAAUCUUUGAACGCACAUUGCGCCCUCUGGUAUUCCGGGGGGCAUGCCUGUUCGAGCGUCAUUAUAACCACUCAAGCUCUCGCUUGGUAUUGGGGUUCGCGGUUUCGCGGCCCCUAAAAUCAGUGGCGGCGCCUGUCGGCUCUACGCGUAGUAAUACUCCUCGCGAUUGAGUCCGGUAGGUCUACUUGCCAGCAACCCCUAAUUUUUUUAAGGUUGACCUCGGAUCAGGUAGGGAUACCCGCUGAACUUAAGCAUAUCAAUAAGCGGAGGA